rnacentral:rRNA from 1 species
GAGUGGCGAACUGGUGAGUAACACGUGGGAAACCUGCCCAGAAGCGGGGGAUAACACCUGGAAACAGAUGCUAAUACCGCAUAACAACUUGGACCGCAUGGUCUGAGCUUGAAAGAUGGCUUCGGCUAUCACUUUUGGAUGGUCCCGCGGCGUAUUAGCUAGAUGGUGGGGUAACGGCUCACCAUGGCAAUGAUACGUAGCCGACCUGAGAGGGUAAUCGGCCACAUUGGGACUGAGACACGGCCCAAACUCCUACGGGAGGCAGCAGUAGGGAAUCUUCCACAAUGGACGAAAGUCUGAUGGAGCAACGCCGCGUGAGUGAAGAAGGGUUUCGGCUCGUAAAACUCUGUUGUUAAAGAAGAACAUAUCUGAGAGUAACUGUUCAGGUAUUGACGGUAUUUAACCAGAAAGCCACGGCUAACUACGUGCCAGCAGCCGCGGUAAUACGUAGGUGGCAAGCGUUGUCCGGAUUUAUUGGGCGUAAAGCGAGCGCAGGCGGUUUUUAAGUCUGAUGUGAAAGCCUUCGGCUCAACCGAAGAAGUGCAUCGGAAACUGGGAAACUUGAGUGCAGAAGAGGACAGUGGAACUCCAUGUGUAGCGGUGAAAUGCGUAGAUAUAUGGAAGAACACCAGUGGCGAAGGCGGCUGUCUGGUCUGUAACUGACGCUGAGGCUCGAAAGUAUGGGUAGCAAACAGGAUUAGAUACCCUGGUAGUCCAUACCGUAAACGAUGAAUGCUAAGUGUUGGAGGGUUUCCGCCCUUCAGUGCUGCAGCUAACGCAUUAAGCAUUCCGCCUGGGGAGUACGGCCGCAAGGCUGAAACUCAAAGGAAUUGACGGGGGCCCGCACAAGCGGUGGAGCAUGUGGUUUAAUUCGAAGCUACGCGAAGAACCUUACCAGGUCUUGACAUACUAUGCAAAUCUAAGAGAUUAGACGUUCCCUUCGGGGACAUGGAUACAGGUGGUGCAUGGUUGUCGUCAGCUCGUGUCGUGAGAUGUUGGGUUAAGUCCCGCAACGAGCGCAACCCUUAUUAUCAGUUGCCAGCAUUAAGUUGGGCACUCUGGUGAGACUGCCGGUGACAAACCGGAGGAAGGUGGGGAUGACGUCAAAUCAUCAUGCCCCUUAUGACCUGGGCUACACACGUGCUACAAUGGAUGGUACAACGAGUUGCGAACUCGCGAGAGUAAGCUAAUCUCUUAAAGCCAUUCUCAGUUCGGAUUGUAGGCUGCAACUCGCCUACAUGAAGUCGGAAUCGCUAGUAAUCGCGGAUCAGCAUGCCGCGGUGAAUACGUUCCCGGGCCUUGUACACACCGCCCGUCACACCAUGAGAGUUUGUAACACCCAAAGUCGGUG